rnacentral:lncRNA from 1 species
AUCGGUGCAGUUGGUUGUCCACUCCUGGUCCUGCUUGUGCAUAUGUCAAUCUUCACAUCUGUGCAAAUGGUAGGGAACAAGGUAAGAGUAAAGAAAUUCCAUAGCUUGUGUGGCAUGUUUUACACUUCUGGAAGUCUUUCCUUUUACAAAGUAUGAUAAAACUGGAUGACUUUUUUUUAAUUGUCAUCAAAAUGAACCCAUUAAAGUAAAUAAGGGAUGUGCACUUGGGGGAAGAUGGAGUAGACAUGCUUCCUUUUUCUCCACUGAGUAUAUCUCAGUACCCUGUAUAAAUACAAAAAACAAACAAGAAAACUCUGGAAGGUAGAAGGAGAAGAACAGACCAGCUGGGAACCUUGAAACCAAGUUACUUAAUGAUAGUGAGUUCCCUGGACUUUAUUUUUAUGUGUUAUUUGUCCCAAACCUGGAACGUAAGCUACCAAUCUAGAAAUGCCAACAACUACCGAUCAAAUAAAAGCCCCAACAAAAUCCUGCUUUCACUAGACAAAGAAUCAGAAUAUGGACAACCUAGCAAGACAAAUACCUUUUUUUUUUUCCCAGUGCUGGUAAUUGAACCCAUGGCCUUGCAUAUGCUAGGCAGGUGCUCUACCACUGAGCUAUGCACAUCUCCAUCUCCAAAAGAGAAAGUAUUAGACGAUAAUUGGUCUACUGUAGACCUACACCAUAGAAAAAGCUGUGGCCCCACCACCACUCACGUGAGCAAAGGCCACACAGAAAGCCCCAGUUCAGCUUUUGCCUGGCUUAGACUCCUCAGGCUCCACCACCGCCAUGAUGAUAUCAGAGGAGAUUGAGUAGGAAGCUAGGAGUUUCAUCCAAAUGGUAAUGAGUCCUUCUCCCUAGUGGUGGCAACAUGGACAGCUUGUACAUCCAUUCCCAUUGGGCAGUAAUAAAGCAUCCUCCCCCUCACGACUACACGGCAGCAGUGAGGCCACAUAGCACUGAGGUGUCAGUGAGGCCCAGAUGGGGAACAGUAAAGAGGCACUACUUUUCCUGGCCAGGGAGCUAUUGGUGGAGGCCUAGAAGAAAGUGAGAAUGCUCUGCCCUGCCACCCACACCAGGACCAAGAAGUCUGGACCUUGUUUUAAAUGCAGGCCAAUAGUGAAUCUGGACUUCCCACCUGAAAGUAACUAGGCAGUAGCUCCCUUUCCUCCACUAAUGUGAAAAGGGAUAAUCAGUAGAUGCAAAUAUGAUGACAGAACUAUUAAAAUUAUCUGACAGAAUUUACAGCAAGCAUGGUACAUGUUUCGGGAAUCAGUAAUAAAACAAAUGAAAAAUGCAAAGCCUCAGAAAAGAAAUAGAAGCUAUAAGGAAGAAUCAGACAUUUUGUAACUAAGGGCUGGGGAUGCCUGGCAAGCGCGAGGUCCUGAGUUCGAUCCCCAGUAUUAAAAACAAAAAAAGUAACUAAAAUUUUGAAAGCUCAGUGGAUGGGCUGAGCAGCAUAAGAGAAGAGAAACGAAAGAACGAGAGCCAGAAGAUAGAAAUUACCCAUUCUGAACAACAGAGAGUUGGAAAUAGGAAUAGCAAGGGCCUAUAGAUCAAAGAACAAAAAGUUAACAUUCUUGCCACUCAAAUAAUGCCAAAAACCUUCCAAAGUCACCAAACCAUAUAACCCUACAGAUUCAGUAAACUGAGUGCUAUGGCCUGAAUGUUUGUUCUCCUGUCUUCACUCCAAAGUCAUAGGACAAAAUUUUUUGAAACCUUUUUUUUUUUGGUACCAGAGAUUGAACUCGGGCCCUUGCGCUUGCUUGCGCAGCAGGCAGCGAAACCACUGAGCUAAAUCCCCAGCCCUAUAUAUUUUUUUAAACUUUUUAAAAAAUUUUUUGUUUGUUUUUUUGGUCUUUUUGGUGCCAGAGAUUGAACUCGGGUCCUUGCGCUUGCAGGGCAGGCGUCAGAACCAGUGAGCUAAAUCCCCAGCUUGUGUAAUAUUUUUAAAUGAUAUUUUCUUUUUUGGUACCAGGGAUCGAACUUGGGUCCUUGCCCUUGCGCAGCAGGCAGCGAAACCACUGAGCUAAAUCCCCAGCCCUAUAAGAGGGAUAGUGUGGGGGUUUGUUGGGAGCAAUGCUACAUAAUUCUAGGGAAAAAUCAUUUGGUUAGCCUAGUUCUCUUGCCUACAGCCCAGCUACAGAAUAACUCCAGUUUGGCUUCCGGUCACAACUGAGACUUCAGUGAUCCAGUGAUGCUGUGAUUCUCCAGGACAAGAAACAUCCUGGGAGAACAAACAUCUGCUCAGUUCCUCGUUGUUCUUGGACUGUUAACCUCUUGUUUGCCGGAGAUGUACUGAACUCUCUGCAAGCCUUCCGUUACACCUUGUUUAUCCCAAUGUGAACUGUUGAACUCUCUGCAAGUUAUUUGUUACAUUUGUUUCUCCCGAUGUACUCAAUUCUCUGCAAGUCGUUUGUUACGAGGUACUGAAUAAAAGGUGUGGUAAGCUAGGGCCUUUUGUCUCUGCCGCCCGGAGCAGCACUGAUCAGACCCAAAGCUUGGCUUCUUCUCAGUCUCAUUUUUCUACCUUUCCUGUAAUUCGCCGUGUGCUGCCGUGGCUCGCAGGAGACCAGGACUCACUGCAGAGGUUCUGGUAACGUCCCUUUCCCCUGUCCCCUACAGGGGUUUUGGGGGGGGGGGGUUGGUACCGGGGAUCGAACUCCAGUUCUUGCUCUUGAGCAGCAGGCGGCGAAAGCACUGAGCUAAAUCCCGCCCCCAUAGGACAAAAUUUUACCCCUAGUGGUGAUAUCAGUGGUCUAGGUAUCACUUCUCAUUUUUCUAGAGUAUUUUAUUUUGUGUUACUCAGAGCUUUGCACAUGCUAGGCAAGUGCCCUACCAGUAAGCUACACCCCAGCCUUCUGAGGAUUCUUUCUAUCAUGAGUGGGUAUUGAAUUUAUCAAAUGCUUUUUCUGUUUCAACUGUUCUAAACUUAUAAUUGUUUAGUCUUUUUUUUUUUUCCAACCAUGUAGUUCAGGCUGGGCUCGGACUCACGAUGAUCCUCCUGCCUCAGCCUUCCAUGUGCUGGGAUUAUAGGCAUGCACCACCUCACUGG